CUCCGAGAUGCUCCCCACCGAGGACAGCUUGGCCAGGUACCUGGGGAGAAGGCGGUGGGGUGAAGUGCCGUGCGGCCCGCCUUCUCCUCUUGCCACUGCUGGGACCGGGCUGUGCCCCGCCCAGGUCUCCGGGAACCAACUCAUCCUACUGACCGGUCCUGGCAGUGACUUCUCUCUGGAUCCGGAGACAGACUCCCCUGCCUGGCUCUUGGGGCCAGAGGGGGAAUGCUUCUUGCAUAAGAAAGCCUCUGCCUCCACCAAAGCAGGCUAGGCACCAGGGGGGACCCUGACAGAACCUCCAGCCCAGCGUGACCCUGGGGCUCUGACCCUGUUAUGUCCCUCUGGCCGCGAGGCUGAGACCACUCCCCUGGCGUGUCUCUCUUUCCCCAUCUCCAGGCAAGGAUCCUGGCCACCUACGCCCAGCCCAAGCUACGGCCGGCCGCAUCCCCGGGCACCAGAUGGAGGCCAGCAUCGGGGCUGCAGCCGGAAGUGGCGAGCAUGGAUCCUCUCCCAGAGGGCCGCCGUGAGAGAAGGCAAUUCCACGUGGCUGAGGCACCUGGCUCUGAGCCGGGCACACGGCAGGUGUGACCAGGAGGAGCCCCCCUUCCCUGGCAGUACAGGUCCGGACUCCACGAGGGGAGGCGGCCUGAAAUCACAGUAACAGGGCUGUAGGGGAGCUGUGGGCUGCCACGGCCGUGAGUCACCAAGACAGCUUCCAGGAAGAAGCCGAGAACCCUCUUCCGCUGAGGAGCGUGCUUGCCCCAUGGCCGGCACCCGAGCCACGCCCCCGGCCCCUGCCUUCAUCUGGCUCAACAGCUGUCCCCUUCCAUGCCACAGGAGGCACAGCUCCACCCCACCCGAUUCUGUCAGAUCCCUGGUCUCGCAUGGGAAGGGCUGGCUGGUGCGACCAGACAUGCAUCUGGGAAUGGGGUGGACAGACCUGGGACCCCAGGCCCUUGCCUGCGCUGCUGGUCUGGGUAUCUGGUUCAGGUUCGGGUGCCUAGCCUCAUGUUACAGAGGAGCGAACUGAGGCCCAGAGAGGUGGAGGGUCUCAUCCAAAGUUACACAGCCAGUGAGUGACACGGAGCUCUCUCUCCCCUGUAUCUUGGUUGUGGGUCUGCCCUGUCUGAAGGCUGGGGGGCUGACACUACCUUCAGUGUCCGUCCAGCCCAUGGCCUCCUCAUUGCCCGGCACAGGCGAGGCACACAGAAGGAGUUCAGUCAAUGCCUCCAGUGUGAUGGACGGCUCUGUCCCCCUCUGUCACCUACUGGCAGAAUACUCAGGGUAGGGAAGGGCAGGGGUGAGGGAGUACGUUGGGAGCUGCCUUUGCCUCCCGCCCUGCAGUGGGCUUGGAGACGGUCAGGGGUCAGGCCCAACUGGUCCUGGGGGCCUCAGGAAUCCCUUCCCUGCACCCUAAGGUGGCUCAGCCUUUCCCCCAGAGACACAUGUGCCCCUCGAUGACCCUGGAGCUGGGCCGGGCUCGGAUGUUGGCUGCACAAGCCAUUUCUGGGGAGCUGGAGAGCCAGGUCUGUGGAGGGCCUCGACCAUCUCUGCCUGUUCUCUCGUUCGGGUCGCCUUGCCCCAAUUUAGGCUUCUUCCUGCCACUGCUGAGUCCAGGCUUAGCAAUCUGCCACCUGCUGCCCCAGCCACCCAGGACUCUCGCCACAGCCCUGCCAUCGAUCAGGUUACCCCAGCAGCCCGGGCCGCUCGGCUGCCGCUGCCAGCCAGCUCGUGCCCCCAUCUCCUCACCCGGGGGGCUGCAGGUCCUUCAGGCUUCUCCUAGGAGGCCGUCCCCGCCAGCCCGUGCCGCAGCCUGCAAGGCGGGAGGGCCCUGGCCCUGCCAGGGAGAUCAGAUCCUCUCAGCCACCUGCUGUUUUCAUUAGAAACUAAAAUUAGCUGGGCUUGUCCCAAGCUUUUCCAGGUUUGCUUGCUUUUUUAAAAAAAUAUACAAAUUCCUAGAGGAAAAUCCGCA